UUAGUACCCAGGUAAUCAAAAUUUAUUAAUUCGGGAGUAAAGUAUUGUUUAAACCGAAAAAAUAUUGACUGACUUUAGAUUUUUCUUUGGAAUAUGUGAUUUUGGAGAGCCCUCUUUUUUGGUAAAUUUUAUUGGCACAUGUAUGAUUGUUUAGUUUUCAUGUUUUUUGUGAUGCUUAAUUGUUUUUUGCAUUUAAAACA
rnacentral:rRNA from 1 species